rnacentral:rRNA from 1 species
CCCUUAGAUGUCCUGGGCCGCACGCGCGUUACACUGAUGCAUUCAACGAGCUUAUAACCUUGGCCGAGAGGCCUGGGCAAUCUUGUUAACGUGCAUCGUGAUAGGGAUAGAUUAUUGAAAUUAUUAAUCUUGAACGAGGAAUUCCUAGUAAACGCAGAUCAUCAAUCUGCAUUGAUUACGUCCCUACCCUUUGUACACACCGCCCGUCGCACCUACCGAUUGGAUGGUCCGGUGAAGCCUCGGGAUUGUGGUUCUUGCCGCUUUAUUGUAGCGUGACCGCGAGAACUUGUCUAAACCUUAUCAUCUAGAGGAAGGUGAAGUCGUAACA